GAUGAACGCUGGCGGCGUGCCUAAUACAUGCAAGUCGAGCGAACGGACGAGAAGCUUGCUUCUCUGAUGUUAGCGGCGGACGGGUGAGUAACACGUGGAUAACCUACCUAUAAGACUGGGAUAACUUCGGGAAACCGGAGCUAAUACCGGAUAAUAUUUUGAACCGCAUGGUUCAAAAGUGAAAGACGGUCUUGCUGUCGCUUAUAGAUGGAUCCGCGCUGCAUUAGCUAGUUGGUAAGGUAACGGCUUACCAAGGCAACGAUGCAUAGCCGACCUGAGAGGGUGAUCGGCCACACUGGAACUGAGACACGGUCCAGACUCCUACGGGAGGCAGCAGUAGGGAAUCUUCCGCAAAGGGCGAAAGCCUGACGGAGCAACGCCGCGUGAGUGAUGAAGGGCUUCGGAUCGUAAAACUCUGUUAUUAGGGAAGAACAUAUGUGUAAGUAACUGUGCACAUCUUGACGGUACCUAAUCAGAAAGCCACGGCUAACUACGUG
rnacentral:rRNA from 1 species